rnacentral:rRNA from 1 species
AACGAACGCUGGCGGCAUGCCUAAUACAUGCAAGUCGAACGAGAUCUUCGGAUCUAGUGGCGCACGGGUGCGUAACGCGUGGGAAUCUGCCCUUGGGUUCGGAAUAACUUCUGGAAACGGAAGCUAAUACCGGAUGAUGACGUAAGUCCCAAGAUUUAUCGCCCCAGGAUGAGCCCGCGUAGGAUUAGCUAGUUGGUGGGGUAAAGGCCCACCAAGGCGACGAUCCUUAGCUGGUCUGAGAGGAUGAUCAGCCACACUGGGACUGAGACACGGCCCAGACUCCUACGGGAAGCAGCAGUAGGGAAUAUUGGACAAUGGGCGAAAGCCUGAUCCAGCAAUGCCGCGUGAGUGAUGAAGGCCUUAGGGUUGUAAAGCUCUUUUACCCGGGAUGAUAAUGACAGUACCGGGAGAAUAAGCUCCGGCUAACUCCGUG